rnacentral:rRNA from 1 species
CCCUACGGGGUGCAGCAGGCUUGGGGGUGGAUUUACCAAUCUCGACGCCAUCUGGGAACAUGGUGAUUUCAUUGGGUGGGGGUGUAAAUCAGGUGGCGGUCAUCAGCUUGAAUGGUAUUGUAGCCGGCGAAUCCUCAAGAACCGGUGGGCAGGUCCUGGAUGAGGCACUCAUCACUUAUGUGCGGAAGCGAUUUGGCGUCAUUAUAGGGCAGCCGACUGCCGAAUUGAUUAAAAUAAAAAUUGGUUCGGCAAUUCCUCAGGAUCAACAACUUUCCAUUGCAGUUCAGGGGCAGGAUCAAAUGACAAGUUUUCCGCUACCGGUAAUAGUAGCCACGGAGGAUGUCGUCGAGGCAUUGCAAGAACCAAUGGAAGACAUUGUGAAAUUAACGCGCAAAGUUAUGGAAAAAACACCCCCAGAAUUAAUCUCGGAUAUUAUUGACCGGGGAGCAGCAAUGUGUGGCGGGGGGGC